AUAAUCCUGUUUCUAAUUUCAAGAAACCAAUUUCUUCAUUAAGGAAUUUCCAUGGCAAAAUAACAAUUGUUCUUCAAAAACACCUGCAUCACUUAUUAAAAAUUGAGUGGUAACUGAAGAUGGCAAAACACCGCAUCAGAACGACUCAGUCACAGUGGCAAUUGUUUUGAAAGAUGAUGAAAGAAGGGCUAGCCUGAAAGAAACUUCUGCCUUCUUUGGAAAUGAGAUGCAAAAAGUAUGGCUCCCUGCUACAACAAAAAUGGAUCCCCCAAGGAGGACAUAACUGGAAUUGCUGUCAUUGUUACCCCUUUGAAAAUCUCAGCCAGCUAGAGGACCAGAGACAUUCUCAUCAAGAUUAAAGCCAGAGCAACCACCACCAACAAAUGAUGACAAAUCCCUGCCAGGAUUGGAGUGGGUUUGAAUGGCAUAGCUGGCCCCUGGUACUCCUGAGUGGUUAGAUCGUCAGUCUUACCUGUUCAUUUUGUUAACCUCAUAGUAGUACAGCAACAUAUUUUACUUGUUUGAAUUGUUUGUGUUAGAAUCAGGUAUUAACCUUGUAGGCAACAUGGAUAAUAUAUUUCUGUAGUUCAACAUAAUUUCCAUUUUAAAUUCACAAUUUAUUAGAGCAGCAGAAAAUAAUGUCAAUAAAAUUGAAGCCUCUUUUUCUUAAGGGAUUGUGCCUAAGGAGCUUACUUAAUUCCAAGACUGGGUGUGUGGUGAGGAGGGGAGAAAAUGGAGAGGACGCUAUGCCUCAUUAUUUCCUAAGAUGCUCAUCAUUCCAAAUGAUCAUCCAUCACUGGUCUUAAGGUCACUUUUGUCUUCUGGUCUCUUUGGGUCUGAAAGAUCUCUGCUAUGUCCAUUAUUCAGGUGGGGGUUUGGAAAUAACUGCAACCUAUCUAGAAACUCAUCUGCCAAAUGAACUUCGCAACAAUUUCCUAUGUGGGGGCAUAUCACCUUCCUGAGACUCUGCCUGAGGUAAAGGCACAGAGCCUCACUCCCUUGAUCAAGCUUCCUUCCAUCCUUCUUACUCCAACCUGUUUUCUGUUUGCCACAGAAAUCUCACCUUCUUUCAGAGACACAAAGGGAACUCUACCCCAAGAUCAAUUUUAUAAAGGCUCAUAAUUCCAGUUCUCUCUUGAUAAUAGAGCAGUCUCGAAAUCAGUUACUAAAUGUAGGGUGGAUUAAUUUUAGAUCUUGUGUAUAGGACUUGGUCUGAAUCCUUUAAAAUCGUAGGUAUAUACUUUACAUAAGCCUUACCCCAAGGGCAGCCAUAAUUUUCUUUCAACCAUAUUUUGUAGGCUGGUGAGUCCUGCACCUGCCCCAAGUUUCAGGCAAUUAACUUGACUGUGGUCUCCUGCCAUGCACACUGAGCUUUAGCUCUCAUUAAUCUGUGGGAGACAAAUUCUAGCUUCCUCUAGACUGAGAACCAGCAGGCCUAGCUCCAGUCUCUAAUCACUAACUUAUCACUGUGACAUUUUUUUCCCUUUCUGGUCUGUGGAGAUAUUUCUCUUCUUUUGAGUUUACCAUAUCUUAGUCAUUUUGCCAUUCUUUAAAAUUAUUCUUUGACUGCUAAGCUUGGAGUUGAUGGAGAAGUUCAAGCCUAAACUCAUAAUGUCAUCCUGACCCUUGGUCCCAAACUGUUGGUAUCUGAUUAUCUAGUUCUCAGGGUGAAUUUGGAUAUUUGUAGACUUGAAGGCCCAAAUAGACAAGUGGACACUCCAUGUUAAUCAUAGCCCAACUUAUCCUAGAAAGAAAAUUAAGUUUAAUUAAGUUCCUCAAUAUAUUUCACCUAAGAUGCAAGAACAAAUAAACCCUGAAAAAUAUUUUUUAUAGUGAAGCCCUUGCUCAGAGAAAAAACAGAACAAAACCUCAAGAACUGUGAUUAAUUAUACUAAAGGAUAUUUUCAGGCAUGGACUUGUCUUGAAAACGUGCUGUUGGGCCUAAUUGUAUUUACAGUUCACACUCAUAUAUAGAGCACUGGUAGACCAGUCAGUGAGUGAAUGAUUAUAGUCCUAUUUUUGGCUUGAACAUUCAUCAAUGUGUGAGUGUUGGCAGGAAAGCCACUAAACUUUUCACAGUAUGUCUUCUCAUUGUAAAAUGGAAAUAUUAAUUCCUGCCAUUAUUGUGGUAUGGUUAUGAAGAACAAACAAAACACAGCCAAAUGAUGCUAUAAAUCUGUUUUGAGAUUAUCCCUGGCACAUUUACCUAGUAAAAUUUUGCAUUCAUUUUGCAUAGUAAAAUGAAUAGUUGUUAUUUUAAAAGAGGGUAAAAAAAAUAAGCUAAGUAAUUCAAGAAUCUAAAAACAACUAUAAAAUAAGCAAUACAUUAAACAAAUAUUAAAAUUACUUAACCAAAAAGAAAGCUAUUUUGUUUAAAAGAUUAGUAGAAUUAAGACGAGAUUUUAAAUGUCUCUUUCUACUGAGGUUAAUGCUAAAAAAUUGUAUCUUUGAGUUUUUUUUUCUUUUUUUAGAAAAUGAUAGUGGAAAAAUUUUUAUCAGAAGAAAGCUUAAAAGCAUAGGUAAAAUUAGCCUUUUUUUCUAGAGAAAAUAUAAGUAUCAAAAAUGACAGAAGGAAUAGAUCAAUUAAAUACUGUAAAGAGUAUAUAGCUAAAAAUAAUCAAUUCCCAAUGUCUCAAAAUUCACCUUAUAGUACUAAUUAUAACUGUGGCCAAAUCUCCAAGGUACAGAUAAUGCUUAUAUAUUAUGACCUUUCCAGACACUAUAAAAAGAGGACAACCUGUCAAGAAAGUUUAUUACUAUCUUUGGUUUUUCAUGUUAUGAUUGUUUAUCUGCUAAGAAAUUAUUGGAACUGUUAUUACAGUUUGUUAUUAAUGCCAAAAAUUAGAUCGAUAUGCAAAGGCCAAUGGAAGAAAUAGUUAGCAACAAUAAGAGAAAAAAGUAUAUAGAGAAAAAAUAUCUAAAAUAUCAGAAAAACCUUUAUGAUAUCAAAGAAUGUAAUAAAAGUAAAACCAUUAUAGAAUAAUAAUUUUUAAAAUAUUUGUGAAAGAUAUGUAUGAAUACCAAAACAGGUGGUAAAAAUCUUGUUAUGGAUAAGAAAAUUCACGGCCAUAAAGCUGUCAAUUUUUUUCAAAAUUAAAGGGCAACCUCCCUCUAGGAUUUUUAAUGUACAUACUAACUUGGUGCAAAAGUCAUUGCAGUUUUUGCCAUUACUUUAAUAGCAAAAACUAAAAAUAACCAAAAUGUCUGGUAGGGGGUCUGCCUGAGCAAGUAUUAAAACAUAAGUAACAAUAAUUAAAGCAGCAUUAUAUUGGCACAGAAAUAGGUAUGAAGGAAUUAAGAGCUGAGGUAGAGUCUCAAGUUUAUACAUAAUUUUUUAUUGUUGAACAAUUCUAUGGAGAUAAGUUUUGCAUACAAAAAUUUCAUGUUUAAAGAAAUAAUUUGGUGUUUUGAGAUAUGUAUUUAUGCAUGUUAAAAAAUUGAUCACUCACAAAAAUUUCCUCCACUUUGUACUCUCUUUCUUAGAGUCCUUCCCAUUCUAGGAAGCCAAUGAUUGUCUUUCUAUCAUUAGAGACUAGUUUGCAUUUUUAAGCAUUUUAUAUGAAUGGAGUAAUACAAUGCAUACUCUCAUUUUGUCUGGCUUAUUUCACUCAGUGUAAGAGAUGUCUCAAACCUGUUGCCAACAGUUUUGCAUCAAUAGUUAAUUCUUUUCAUUGCUGAGUAGUAUUCCAUUGUAUAGAUGUAUCAUAAUUUAUCUGCUUACACACUGAUGGACAUUUGGAUUCUUUCCAGUUUUUGGCUAUUAUCAUAAAAGUUUCUUGAAGAAUUUUAUAAAAGUCUUGGUAUGAAUAUUUUCAUUCAUUUCUGCUGGGUACAAACUUAGGAGUGGAGUGUCUGGAACAUAUGGUAGAUGCAUGUUUAACAUUUUAAGAAACUGCCAAAUCAUUUUCCAAAAUACAUGUAUUACUAGGAUAAGUUAGAGUGAAUUAUCUCCAUACCCUCUUGAAAUAGGUUGACCAUGUCAAUCUAUUUUUAUGUAGUCAUUAUACUGAGUGUGCAGUGGUAUGGCCAUGUCAAUCUAUUUUUAUGUAGUCAUUAUACUGAGUGUGCAGUGGUAUGGCCAUGUCAAUCUAUUUUUAUGUAGUCAUUAUACUGAGUGUGCAGUGGUACCUAAUUUUGGUUUCAGCGACUAAGGGGUUGAGC
rnacentral:lncRNA from 1 species